rnacentral:rRNA from 1 species
CACUAUCGUUAACUGAAUACAUAGGUUAACGAGGCGAACCGGGGGAACUGAAACAUCUAAGUACCCCGAGGAAAAGAAAUCAACCGAGAUUCCCCCAGUAGCGGCGAGCGAACGGGGAGCAGCCCAGAGUCUGAAUCAGCUUGUGUGUUAGUGGAACGGUCUGGAAAGUCCGACGGUACAGGGUGAUAGUCCCGUACACCAAAAUGCACAGGCUGUGAACUCGAAGAGUAGGGCGGGACACGUGGUAUCCUGUCUGAAUAUGGGGGGACCAUCCUCCAAGGCUAAAUACUCCUGACUGACCGAUAGUGAACCAGUACCGUGAGGGAAAGGCGAAAAGAACCCCGGCGAGGGGAGUGAAAAAGAACCUGAAACCGUGUACGUACAAGCAGUGGGAGCACCUUCGGGUGUGACUGCGUACCUUUUGUAUAAUGGGUCAGCGACUUAUAUUCUGUAGCAAGGUUAACCGUAUAGGGGAGCCGCAGGGAAACCGAGUCUUAACUGGGCGUUAAGUUGCAGGGUAUAGACCCGAAACCCGGUGAUCUAGCCAUGGGCAGGUUGAAGGUUGGGUAACACUAACUGGAGGACCGAACCGACUAAUGUUGAAAAAUUAGCGGAUGACUUGUGGCUGGGGGUGAAAGGCCAAUCAAACCGGGAGAUAGCUGGUUCUCCCCGAAAGCUAUUUAGGUAGCGCCUCGUGAACUCAUCUUCGGGGGUAGAGCACUGUUUCGGCUAGGGGGUCAUCCCGACUUACCAACCCGAUGCAAACUACGAAUACCGAAGAAUGUUAUCACGGGAGACACACGGCGGGUGCUAACGUCCGUCGUGAAGAGGGAAACAACCCAGACCGCCAGCUAAGGUCCCAAAGUCAUGGUUAAGUGGGAAACGAUGUGGGAAGGCACAGACAGCCAGGAUGUUGGCUUAGAAGCAGCCAUCAUUUAAAGAAAGCGUAAUAGCUCACUGGUCGAGUCGGCCUGCGCGGAAGAUGUAACGGGGCUAAACCAUGCACCGAAGCUGCGGCAGCGACACUAUGUGUUGUUGGGUAGGGGAGCGUUCUGUAAGCCUGCGAAGGUGACCUGUGAGGGUUGCUGGAGGUAUCAGAAGUGCGAAUGCUGACAUAAGUAACGAUAAAGCGGGUGAAAAGCCCGCUCGCCGGAAGACCAAGGGUUCCUGUCCAACGUUAAUCGGGGCAGGGUGAGUCGACCCCUAAGGCGAGGCCGAAAGGCGUAGUCGAUGGGAAACAGGUUAAUAUUCCUGUACUUGGUGUUACUGCGAAGGGGGGACGGAGAAGGCUAUGUUAGCCGGGCGACGGUUGUCCCGGUUUAAGCAUGUAGGCUGAUUGUCCAGGCAAAUCCGGAUAAUCAAGGCUGAGGUGUGAUGACGAGGCACUACGGUGCUGAAGUAACAAAUGCCCUGCUUCCAGGAAAAGCCUCUAAGCAUCAGGUAACAUUAAAUCGUACCCCAAACCGACACAGGUGGUCAGGUAGAGAAUACCAAGGCGCUUGAGAGAACUCGGGUGAAGGAACUAGGCAAAAUGGUGCCGUAACUUCGGGAGAAGGCACGCUGGUGUGUAGGUGAAG